UACGGGGGGGGCAAGCGUUGUUCGGAAUUACUGGGCGUAAAGGGCUCGUAGGCGGCCAACUAAGUCGGAUGUGAAAUCCCCAGGCUUAACCCGGGAACUGCGUCCGAUACUGGCAGGCUUGAAUUCGGGAGAGGGAUGCGGAAUUCCAGGUGUAGCGGUGAAAUGCGUAGAUAUCUGGAGGAACACCGGUGGCGAAGGCGGCAUCCUGGACCGAGAUUGACGCUGAGGCGCGAAGGUCAGGGGAGCAAACGGG
rnacentral:rRNA from 1 species